UGGGGAGUUGCCGUGCUCACGGAAGACGAAACCGACCUUGCUGAACUCGAGGCAAGGAACCCAUUUGGAGCGGAUGAGAUACUCGAUCUGCUUCAGGAGGGACUCCACGGUGAGAGGUGGCAGGUAGGAAAGGGUCUCGAACUUCUUGAUGCCCUCAAUUGGCCACACCUGCAAUUAGAUUAAAAUUAGCACACAAAGUGUGAUUUGAGACACAUAUCGAUGGAGUAUUUCACUUCACACAUAUCGGUAUGAUGAUAUACAUACCUGCAUGCUCGUGAUCCUGCCACCGUUGGAGACGCUGCCGAGGCCAGCGCCGGCAGAGCGGCGGCUGACGGGGAGCCCGGCGGUGGACUUGAGGCCCCGGAAAGGAGCAACAGCGGUAGCCGCCGCCGACAUCACUGUCGGACCCAUAGCAUCCACCCUUGUAUCACUAGAGUAUAUCUACUUAGCUAAUAUGCUAAGUUUGGCACGGAGAGAGGAGGUCGAGUGGACUUCAUUCCUGGUCACAAGGGUUUAUAUAUACCAUAUAACAUACGAGCAAUUUGUGAUUAAUUUGUUGUCGUUCUAGGAGAUGUGGAAAGGGUGGAUGCCGUUCGUUGGUUGCCUUAUCCGUUCUAGAGAAGGGAUGGAUGACCGACGCUCGCUCAGCCGUCUCCUUCGUCCAUCGUUGCCAAUCUUUCUAGCUAUAAUUGGAAGUUCCAAAGGAACAUACGGUUUCAUGCCUACUUCCAUCGGCCUAUCAUGUACCAAUCCAAUAAAAGGACAUCGUUCAACCAUCAAUCCAUGUGUGUGUAGUAAGUGAUUGGCUACGAACCUUCAGCUGACUUGCUUUAUUGGAUAUUUCUGUAAAGCGAGUCCACGGUGUGUGGGUUUAAAAUCUCGUGGCGGCAACUGUUGACGGGUGCAAAUAUCAGUAGCCUUAAAACAAUAAACUUUACUCCGUCCCUUCCGAAAUGCAAGAAUGUCCUAAGUCAAACUUCUUAUGCUGCAGGACCAUAGUUUUUGAGGUGUUCUUCUCACGAGUCCACGAAGAACGGGAAUUUUUUGGUGUCGGGUAAGGGCGGGGGAAUAUAUAGAUGCUAGCAUCAGCAUGACGGGCUAACGGGUCAGGUAGGAUUUUGGACGACGUAGCACCUGACAUGUGGGGGCCACAUGUAAGAAAACCUGUCAAAAUGUCAUAACCCUCUGUUUUGGUCAACUUGAUACAAUCUGAUACAAAACGUGUGGUUUUCCUGACAAAUUAGCAAAUUUUGUGUCUCUGUGAGAAGCACGCCCCAAAAACUGUGGUUCCGUGAAAUUUAUUCACUAGUUACACUUUAUCUACAAACAUCUACGAUUCUAAAAUAGUUUGGUAUAUAUUUUCCGUAAUAUAAUUAUUUGAUAUUCUAAAUUCGGGGAUUUGUUCUUAUAAACUUGGUCGAAGUUUAAAAAGUUUGACUUCGGACAAAGUUACGACUUUUUACAUUUAGGAAUGAAGGGAAUACAUUUUAGUAAAGCAAUUGAGGAAUUGACAGAAUUAAAUAUCUUAAAUUAUACUGGUCCAUCGUGUACUCAUGGCAACAAAAUAAAUUUAUAGUCGAAAAGUUGGACCAUGAAAACUUAAAACGUGAUACAUUAAAAUUGUUGAAUCACUCUACAUCUUGUAAUUUUCUCUUGCAACCUUCUGGCGCGCUACUCAUUCCACAUUUGGUACUAUAUGUAUAAAUGUAUAUAUAUACCGCAUUAGGAGCCUCUAUUACUGUUUUAGUAUAAAUAGCAGUUUCCAUCGACUAUGCACUUCAUUAACUUUUUCUUCACGAGAUAACUUGCUUAUCGAUUUUCUUUAAUUAUCCAGAUGGCUUCUACUAGUUUGUUUCCUUGCUUACUGGGAUUUCCGCAGACUUUACGGUUAGGUAUUAUUGUCGUGUGGACAACACGGUGGCCGGAUGUUGAGAUGAUGAUGUCCUUUAUCUCCGUGUUGCUUCUGAGGACUGCGGAUCCGAGGCUAGUGGCGGUAUGGGAUGCCUCUCUACCUCUUGAUCAGGUCAAUCCGGCUCAGCAAGAGGCGGAUCGAUGGUGGCCGGUGUGACUAGAAGCGGGGAGGUAUAUAUGAAACGUUUCUUGCUUCCAGCAUCUCUUCUAGCGGUAUAUAUGUCGUCAGCUGGUUGAGGGAUUGAUGGCAAUCGAUCAUGGCUACGAUGACAUGUAUACGCGCCGGUAGGAACACAUAUCAGGCAAUGUCGAUGCACCUGCAUUGGGCCCUUGCUGAAGGUGGUGGUGCGUAUGGCAGUCUAAAGAUUUAAGACACAAAUUUAGACUUAAAACUUAAAUAAUCAAUUUGUGCCAGCGGGAAACACACAAACACGUACCGGUAAAUUAUCAUAAUCAGAAUUUGUCGACGAAUUUGAUAUUCUUUUACAAAAUAUACUUAUCUUAAUAUGUAUAACCGGAGUUUAUAUUACAUGCCCCUCUCCCAACGAUAGUUGUAGUACUCUUAUAAUAGUAGUACUCAUGAAUACAGUUAAUCCGGGUUGUUGGGAGAGAUCACAUGCAUAAAUACAACAUGAAACAAACGUGUGAAAAAGGUACAUAAAAUCGGUGUGACCCGUUCUUGUAUUAUAAGAAAUCAACUUGCUUAGGCCUUGCCGGACUCCUCACAACCCGGUGGCUUGAAGGCGAUGAAGCUGAUGCACUGCACUUGCCUGGUGUUGUCGAAGCCGAUGAUGCGGACAUAGGCGUCAGGGUACUCCUUCUUCACCUCCUCCAGCUCCUUUAGCACCUGCGUGGCGUCGGUGCACCCGAACAUGGGAAGCUUCCACAUUGUCCAGUACCUGCCGUCGUAGUACCCGGGAGAGUUGCCGUGCUCACGGAAGACGAAACCGACCUUGCUGAACUCGAGGCAAGGAACCCACUUGGAGCGGAUGAGAUACUCGAUCUGCUUCAAGAGGGACUCCACGGUGAGAGGCGGCAGGUAGGAAAGGGUUUCGAACUUCUUGAUGCCCUCAAUUGGCCACACCUACAAUUAGAUUAAUAAUUAGCACCGAAAGUAUAAUUUGAGACACAUAUCAGUAUUUCACUUCAACAUAUGUACAUGAUGACAUACAUACCUGCAUGCACCUGAUCCUUCCACCGUUGGAGACGCUGCCGAGACCAGCGCUGGCUGAGCGGCGGCCGAUGGGGAGCCCGGCGGUGGACUUGAGGCCCUGGAAAGGAGCAACGGCAGUAGCCGCUGACGACAUCACUGUGGGAGCCAUCGUACACGUACGUAGAUAGCUAACAAGAGGAGGCAGGCUUGCUUGAGUGCUCUCUAGCUACAGCGGCUUAUAUAACUGUAGGCUCCCCACCCAUCCAAUAUCAGCACAAGAUCUAGGAGGGGUGGCUGCAGUUCGCCGCGCGGAUUUGCCCAGGCCACGCUGGCAUCCUACGGAUCAGGUCGGGCGCCACAUGGCCGCACGAAAUGGCGCGCGUUAUCCUCUGGACGGAUACAAUUGGCUGCAACGCACUCUGCAAAUCAUGCCAUGAAGUGACCAAUUUUCACCUAUCAGGAUAGAUCCAAUGUGCCACGGCAUGCACUCAAAAACAGAACUUGCUAAUCCCUCCAAUCCAUAAAAAAUCUCGCCCACUUAUUAGAAAAUUUGUAAUGAGUUAAUGCAAAAUGAGCAGCACUUUUUAUGAACUAGAGGAACAACAAAUUAAGAGAAACUCUUCUAAGAUCUUAUCGAGAACGAAGCUUGCCCCCGCGUCGCUCAGUCUGGGGCGACACGGGCGGCAACCACACCAGCCCCGGCAGCAGCCUCUCCCCGUCCUCUCCUCCCCCUCGCCGCCGCCGGGCAAAGCCCGCACGGGGACGGCGGCGGCGGGGCUGUUUUUCUUGGCGGGGGUGUCCUAGAGCUCUUGGCUGAGGCGUUUGAGGUGCUGCCUCAUCGUGGUCGCGGCGUCUCCGGCCCGAUCCGGCAGGCUAUGCCUCGUCUUCGGCUAGAUCCGGCCGGCUUCCUCCCGGAUCCGGUGUUUCCCCUCGUUCUUCCUCUCCCUGGUGCUCGGUCUGCUCGUGGCUGCGCGGCUUCACGGCGGCGCUCUUCGGCCGGAUCUAGCUACUCGUUGGCCAGAUCCGUCAUCUCCUCCGGCUGAUCCGGCAUGUCCCAGGUCUCUUCGUUUCCAUCAUUUUUCCUCUCAGUUUGGUGAGGCGGCUGAUUGAACUUCACCGGCGGCAGAUGGGCUGCUGCUGCGGCCAUACAUGGUCCAAGUCGGUCCUUUUCGAUGCCAUGGUGGCGUGGUUUUCAUUUUCGGUCGCGUCUUCGGCUGCUGCCCGUGUGCGAGGUAUGGACGUCGGCUCCGGUGUUUGGAGUGUUGCUCUGGAUGAAAACUGCCCGUGUGCGAGGUAUGCCGAAGACAACGAUGUUGUAGCGCCGUUUUCCUUCUUGGAGGUGUCGUCGAAGAGCUUCACUUUCCCUCACUUUGAUGUUUGGUGUCUUCGGGUGAAAACCUAAGAUUUGGCUAUGGCCAGAUCGGGCGACAACGGCGUUUUUACGUCGAUUUCCUCCUUGGGGGCGUUGUCAUGGAGACAACGACUCUUGGUGGCAUCGGGUGGUGUGGUCCGUCUAUGGUGGAGCUUGUUGUCUCGAGUUGUUGAAGGUUUGGUGGUGUCUCUUCUUGUGUCAUGUGUUAGCUUAGGCUGUCGGUUUGUGUCCGGCGAGAACGUGCGUUUCUUAUCCUUUGGUGCGGUUUCGGCAUGUGAUGCCUUUCGUCUUCACUAUCGUCACGUAGGUGUCGUGUUGUAUUCUCGGUGGUGUGUGGUCUUUCGGCUUAGCCAACGGCAAGUGGAGGUAUGAUCUCGGUUGUGUAUUGCCCUUCGACUUCAUCGGCGGCACAUCGGCGUCGCGGUGGGUCUCAGUGACGCGCAGCCCUUCGACUCUGCCGGCUACGUAGGUGUCAUGGUGCGGCCUUGACCCUGUGCUUCCCUUCAGCUACGGCGACGACAUAGUGUCUGGGUGGGCUCGUCAGAUCGACGCCUUUCGACUACAUCAACUAUGCUCUUCAUUGUGCAUUUAUUUUGCCAUUGACAUGUUUCAAGAGUCUAGGUUUUUUCCUUGUGUUUCUUUUAGCAAAUGCUGUUCUGCAGGCUGGCUUUUGCCCACCCGAUCAGAAAAGAAAAACAAAUUAAAGGCUAAAAUCAAGCGAUGUUAUAUUCCCUUAGCUAUUACAAAUAUGGAUGAUAAGAGUUAUUUAUCCUUUUUCAACGAGUAACCCUUUACUUGGAAGUUCCAUGUGCAUGGCGCUGCAAGAAAACAAACAUCAUAAUGGGGCAAGACUUUUUUUUUUAUAAACAUCCAAUUUGGGUUAAAGUCUGAAAGAAUUUGGCUAUCUGAACUUUCAGUUUCCACAUUCUUUUACCUACUCAAUUCUUCAGCCAACAGGAUCAAUGGCGACCUACUAACACCAACCAGAACACAUGGGUCACAAACACGAAAAAGGGCUAGAAGGCUACUUAUACACACUCAUGUGUACUGCGAGCAAAAGAACAUAAUGUACAAAACUUUACAAAAUCUAGGGAAUUAAGACCUUCCCGUAUGCUGUUGCUGCCGCUGCUGCUUCAUGCUGGCUCUCCUGGCAACAUCCCAUGGUUUGUGAGGCACACCUACACCUUGCUGGGAUGCGAAGAACGACUCGUAUCCCGGGGAGUCGAAAGCAAAACCAGUGUGCUUGGAGUUCUCUCGAGGGAGCAUGGAGAUCGCAUAGCUUCUUGCUUCUUCUGGGCUCAAAUGGCUCCUCUCAGGCAGAUGUAUCAUGCUGUAUUCGUGGGGGUCAUCCUUGUGCAUCUCCUGGAUUACUUGGUAGUCAUAGGGAAAGAGCCAUCUUUGGAGCCUGAGAAAGCACACAGCAUCAAAGACAACAAUUGAUUCAGCUACUUCAGUAUGUACAAUGGAAGGAAUAACAAACGGAUGGCAUUAACAAACAUAUAAUUUUGCAAAAGAGCUGGUAUCUUACGAUAGAUACAGGAAAUCACCAAAGAGAGCGAUGACUGGAGCAAGCAUUAGUGUGAGGUAGAAGAAAAAGGUACUCAUCAGAACAUAAAUCACAAAAUAUACAUUUUCCUGCACAAGGUACACAGCAUUAAGUCAAUGCAUUUGUAGCAAGUAAUCGUCAUCAGCAGUGUAAUAGCUACAUUAUUCACCCACCUGUCGGUCAAAUGAUGUCAUUAUCGCAGAAUAUAUGAAGAUAAACAGAAACCAGGCCGCUAUACUGCCAGCUACGCUGAAAUAAUGCCAUCUCGUGAUAGAAUUGCACGACAUGAGGAGACGUAGAUUAACAGUCACCACAACACAAGUAAAGGCCAUCGUGCUAACAUCCCAUUGACCAAGAAUCUUGCCAGAUGAACCGUGACCAUGCUGACUUGCAGCUGCAGUAAAGUAAUAGAACACUAUUGACUGGUAGAAGGCAAAGAAACCCCACACCGCAAUCACUUUCCACCGGAAGAAUGUGUUCCUAAUUCCUUCUUGGUAAAGUUGUGGGUAUUUUUUUGAUAGAGAUGCACUCACAUCCUGAAAGGGUUCAGUUUAGUGAAUGUAGCAAGGAGCGUCACUCCAG
rnacentral:lncRNA from 1 species